rnacentral:lncRNA from 1 species
AUAAAUAUAUCGACGAAUGGUUUAUGUCAUAGAAAUGGCUAAGGAAUGUAGCAUAAAACCUAAGUUUCUGUAGGUCCAAUGGUUGUGGAUCGCAUAGGGCAUGUCUCUAGUAGACUAGCAAUACUGUGUUUAGAUUCCAUAUGCUCUUAUAAUCCUUCAAGUACUCAUUAGAAAAGGUAGAACCUAUACCUUCUAUCUUUAAUAGUGACGAUCAAACACUUCAUCUUCUUUAUCUCUUUUAGUGCGCAUUACAUACGAUAUCAAUUACCAUUUAACCUCAUUUAUCUGCUAAUGUUCUCGUAGUCAAUGGAUAAACCAUUUUUUAUCUUCCAUAAAAAGAAUCUAUGGAUAAAC